AAAGCAUUGAAACUACAAAAAUAAAGUGUUAUUUGGCUGCAAUGAGGUCUCAUGACUGUUUAUGUGGUGGCUCGCUGCUCAGGACAUGGAGGAAGAGGGUAAUCUGGAAGAGUUUCCUGACCUACUCUGCUGCUGUGAUUAAACAACCACCAGGAAAUUUUGAUGACACUGUUCUCCUGAGCUCCUCCCUUUCCUUGGGGAAGAAAAGCAUUGAAACUACAAAAAUAAAGUGUUAUUUGGCUGGAGUGAGGUCUCAUGGCUGUUUAUGCGGUGGCUCGCUGCUCAGGACAUGGAAUCAUUGGAGAUACUCAUUACUCUUUGAAGGCUUACAGUGGAAUGAAUUCAAAUACAACUUAUUUGAGGAAUUGAAGUUGACUUUAUGGAGCUGAUAAGAAUCUUCUUGGAAAAAAAAAGACUGGGUAUAUUUUCAAUAUGCUUUCCUUUUAAGGUCCCUCACCUGUGGAAAGUAAAGAAUGUCACUUUCUGACAGGCUCAGGAACCUCAAGUUAUGUAGGGAUCUCAAGAAGAUGGGGGAAUUCACCCAGUUCAUACAGGUGAAAUUGCUGUUGCGAAGAUUAUGAAUAUGAGAGAAGUCCAGCAUGGCUGACUUCAUCUCGUGUCUGGCCUCAGGCUGGCUGCCCUUGCUCACUCUUGGGCAUAGGCCAAGCUAGCCAUGGGAGGAAUUUAGUUUAUAGUUUAACUUUGAAGCACGGAUGACAAUAGUCUCUCCCUAAAAUGAACCCCUUCCUUGCUCAGGGACUGAAACUACCUUUGUAUGACAAAUGAAAGCCCACAAGAUUAAGAUUAUGAGAGGGGCCUGAAUUCUGCUAAAAUGCAGGUGUAGCUGACUGAUAACAAGUCAUUGUCCCACAGCUUGCCUUUCUAUAAUCUCUUGCUUCUCAGGAGUCACAUGGCCAGAGGUCCUGAGAUUUCCAGUCCUGUGACCCCCACCCAGAGAUGGACUUAAUGCAUGAGGACCAUUUUCCACACCCCUAUGAUUUCAUCCUCAAACAAUCAGCAGCAACCAUUCCCUAGCCCCCUGCCUGCCAAAUUAUCCAUAAAAAUCCUAGCCUCUGAGUUAUUAGGGAGAUUGAUUAAUAAUCCCAGUCCUACCCCUUGGGUUGCUCUGAUUUAAUUAAACCUUCUCUACUGCAAUACCACGGACUCAGUGAAUUGGUUUUGUCUGUGCAAUGGGCAAGAAGAACAUGUUGCAUGGUUAUACAGGUACUACAAGCACAGUCUGAUGGCAAAUUAUUGGUUUUGCUUCCUGCCCUUGAUGUUUCUAAACAUCUAGUCCAAAAUUACUUGUGAAAGGUCCAGCAAAGCCAAUUUUAAAAGAGGCUAUAUGGCCAAUCACUAUUCUUUCUACACAUUAUUGCAAACAAUCAGGCCACGGCUGGGCACGGUGGCUCAUGCCUGCAAUCCCAGCACUUUGGGAGGCUGAGGCAGGAUCACCUGAAAUCAGGAGUUCAAGACCAGCCUAGGCAACAUGAUAAAACCCUGUCUCUACUAAAAAUACAAAAUUAGCCAGGCAUGGUGGCAUGCACCUGUAAUCCCAGCUACUUGGGAGACUGAGGGAGGAGAAUCACUUGAACCUGGGAGGCAGAGAUUGCAGUGAGCUGAGAUCACACCACUGCACUCCAGCCUGGGCAAUAGAGUGAGACUUUGUCUCAAAUAAUAAUAAUAAUAAUAAGACCAAGUAUAAUGAAAUUAAAAUUUAUUUUGCAAAUAAAUUGGUCCUACUACAAUUUAUCCUUCAUAGAAAUGUGGAAACUGAAGAUAAAAAAAAUUAGGUUUCAGAAGAAAACUGUACUACACCUGUUAUUAGAUUCUAGCCCUAAACAUUGUUUUUGAGGUUUUUAUUAUUUACCUGCAAUUUGGACUAAAUUCUGAAUUAUUUCCUGACUACAAGUAUCCAAGGAAUAAAUGGGUUUUCUUUUUCUUUAUGAUAGUUUUAGUUGGCUUCUAAUGCAACAACAAUUUUUAUUGUAAUCCUGUGUGCAUUCUAUUCCUACUAUUCAAAUUAUUAAUGUUAUAGAUCUUUCAUUGUAGUACUUCUGAAUUAACCAAAAUCACAGUAUUCUGAAGAUGAUUCUACAAAGCCUGCUGUUUUCUACAAAGGCUGCUGAUGAUUUCUACAAAGCCUGCUGUAGUGUUGCUGUGGCCUCUGCUUAAAAAAGUAGAAAACACAUUGAUGCAGCAUGUUCACCCCAACCUCCCCGCCUAAAGGCUCAGGGACCAUCGCGGAAGAGGAAGGCGCGUGAGAUUGUAAGAGCCGAAUUAGGGGGAUGGAGUGAGGAGGAUAAGGACACUUCAUCUUGGAUGCUCACCUGCCAAAUUGACUUCUGAUGAAAGCCAGCUCCAGAAAUGUACCUACAGUUACUACUUUCACCUAAAACCUGCCCUUAGUCAAAUCCUUCUCUUCUUCUAAGCAAUCAACUUCAAUUCCUUAUAUAACCCACAGUAUAAAAGGGCUUUUAUACCAUUCUAUCCUAUUGCAUGUAAGCCUUGGGUCUGGGAGGUAACAGUGUGGGAUUCCACCAUCUCAUCUCCCUGCCACCCAAACAUGCCUGCUCUUCUUUAAGCAAUAUUAAAUGUUUGUACUUCAGAAAUUUGA